rnacentral:lncRNA from 1 species
AUUAACAUAUCAAUUAUUAACAUAAUUGAUUAAGUAAGGUAAGCGAGUGUAAUUUCGGCGGUAAGGGUUAUUUCGGCGGUUUUCUCAAAUUAUUAAAUUUAUUAACGUUCACAAUAAAAGAAAUUAAAAUAUAGGCAUUUCUACUCAUUCCCUAUACAUCUGGCAACAAUAUUAAAUAAUUUCGGUUGGAAUAAAUACCUACGUGCCGGCCUAAAAAAUCAUAGUUUACUCGUGUGUUAGACAUUGUGGAAGACGAAUCUGCGAUCUUAUAAGGUAAGUGAUCUGUACGGAUUUUUAAAAUUCUUUUUUCUUGCAUUUUACUUGUAUUUGAAAAUAUAAUUUUGUGUUCGGAGUAGUCUGUAAGGUUUGAAUUUUAUGCUUUGAGUCGUAUUUUUACGUUUUGGCUUUGUUUUUACAAUAAAUAGAGCACCCCGAAAUUACCAACAACCUAAAAUAAAGUGUUGGUAAUUUCAGCGGUAUUGCCGAAAUUUACCGCUACACCAGUUUAUAUUAGGAUUUAUUUAUUUAGUUUAAUUGUCAGCAAAAAA